rfam:Pteropus alecto contig168796, whole genome shotgun sequence.
GUCUACGGCCAUGCCACCCUGAACACGCCCGAUCUCGUCUGAUCUCGGAAGCUAAGCAGGGUUGGGCCUGGUUAGUUCUUGGAUGGGAGACCACUUAUGAAUACCAGAUGCUGUAGGCA